AUUGAACGCUGGCGGCAUGCUUUACACAUGCAAGUCGAACGGCAGCGCGGGCUUCGGCCUGGCGGCGAGUGGCGAACGGGUGAGUAAUGCAUCGGAACGUGCCCAGUAGUGGGGGAUAGCCCGGCGAAAGCCGGAUUAAUACCGCAUACGACCUGAGGGUGAAAGCGGGGGACCGAAAGGCCUCGCGCUAUUGGAGCGGCCGAUGUCGGAUUAGCUAGUUGGUGGGGUAAAGGCUUACCAAGGCGACGAUCCGUAGCUGGUCUGAGAGGACGACCAGCCACACUGGGACUGAGACACGGCCCAGACUCCUACGGGAGGCAGCAGUGGGGAAUUUUGGACAAUGGGGGCAACCCUGAUCCAGCUAUGCCGCGUGCGGGAAGAAGGCCUUCGGGUUGUAAACCGCUUUUGUUCGGGAAGAAAUCCUCUGGGCUAAUACCCCGGGGGGAUGACGGUACCGGAAGAAUAAGCACCGGCUAACUACGU
rnacentral:rRNA from 1 species